rnacentral:rRNA from 1 species
UUUUGUGUGUGCAUUCGACGCUCGUAUGUGCAAUUGUCAAUUCAUGGUGGGGACAGACCAUUGUUAAUUGUUGGUCUCGGUCUUAACUAGGAAUGCCUUGUACGGGUCUUUGGUUCAACAAACCACCCGGAAUACGUCCCUGCCCUUUGUACACACCGCCCGUCGCUCUUACCGAUGGACUUCUCUGUGAGUUUGAGGGACUGGAUUUUAUAUCUAUGGAAACUCAAACGAAC